CGUAAGCAGUGUGAAACCCUAAUACGUGUUGAUACGAGUUCUUCGUUCAUCCUCGACCGCGGACAUGACGAUCCAGAUUCUGUAACAUAUGAGUCGUGAUUUAUUUGUCUUAAAUCUUCUUAAUUCUUUAGCCCACUACAAAAUCUUCGAUAACCCUCCUGAAGCUCUGUAUAUAAGUUGCCUGCGAUGAACAGACCCACAUGGCACUCUCCAACGAUGGGAUUCUACCCGAGGUCUCUUCUGAUUCAUGCUUUCGCUCCAAAGCCGAGAUUCGCAUUCUUCGUCUUCCCAAAUCGAGAGGAGACUGGUUGUGAUUUAGGACUGUCUUCUCCUCACUUAUGGUGUUAUUCUCUACGAGGAUACUUAUUAAAAUCGAAAAGCAACCAUAGCUUCAAGAGCUUUGUGCCAGAGCUUUAUUUCAUAGUUUUACUGACUAUACCUAUUUGUUCUUCUUCUUUUUUCCGUCUAUAGGCUGUCUUUAAUUAUUAUCUAUUGUUUGUGGAUUUCAUUUUGCAGUAGAUUCUACCUCACAAGUACUUCAAUUUUCCACCUCCUAACAUCGACUCAUGAUCUAUCUGGGAUUUUCUAAGUUUGUGGCCUUCCUUCUUUCGAGUAUUCAAGGAUUGGUUUUACUUCAUAUUUUCACCAGUUGCCUUCAUACAGCUUCGCAAAGCACACAACUUUCUUUUUAGCUCUUCAUCCUAGGUAGUUUGGAUUGUGAUUGCUGGUUUUUUUCCUUUUUGGCUUUUAUUGAAAGUUCUGAUUCUUUGAAUCAACAUGGACUUCGAUAAAAAAAAAGUGAAUCAACAUGGACUAUUGACUUUAGAUUAGUUUUUUCUUUUGCUGGAUAUGUAACAAAAACCGAUGUCACUUGCUUCUACUACAAACAUUUUUAGAAUUUGUGCUCAUUAUUCAACAAAAAUGUAAAGUUUUGUGUCAGAACUACAUUAACAA